rnacentral:rRNA from 1 species
UACCAGACUCCUACGGGAGGCAGCAGUGGGGAAUAUUGGGCAAUGGGCGCAAGCCUGACCCAGCAAUGCCGCGUGAAGGAAGAAGGCCCUCGGGUUGUAAACUUCUUUUAUCAGGGACGAAGGAUGUGACGGUACCUGAUGAAUAAGCUCCGGCUAACUACGUGCCAGCAGCCGCGGUAAUACGUAGGGAGCAAGCGUUAUCCGGAUUUACUGGGUGUAAAGGGCGCGUAGGCGGGAUGGCAAGUCAGAUGUGAAAUCCGGGGGCUCAACCCCUGAACUGCAUUUGAAACUGUCGUUCUUGAGUACAGGAGAGGUUGACGGAAUUCCUAGUGUAGCGGUGAAAUGCGUAGAUAUUAGGAGGAACACCAGAGGAGAAGGGGGUCAACUGGACAGCAACUGACGCAGAGGCGCGAAAGCGUGGGGAGCAAACAGGAAUAGAUACACGAGAAA